rnacentral:rRNA from 1 species
GACGUAGGUGGCAAGCGUUACUCGGAAUUACUAGGCGUAAAGCGCGUGUAGGUGGAUGUUUAAGUCUGUUGUCAAAUCUUCCGGCUCAACUGGAAGCCAUCAAUGGAUACUGGACAUCUUGAGUGAGGCAGAGGAAGCUGGAAUUCCCAGUGUAGCGGUAAAAUGCGUAGAUAUUGGGAGGAACACCAGUGGCGAAGGCGGGCUUCUGGGCCUUUACUGACACUAAGACGCGAAAGCUAGGGGAGCAAACAGG